rnacentral:rRNA from 1 species
GAUGAACGCUGGCGGCGUGCCUAACACAUGCAAGUCGAACGAGUGGCGGACGGGUGAGUAAUGCCUGGGCAACCGCCCGUUGGAGGGGGACAACUACUGGAAACGGUCGCCAAAUCCGCCUACCCUCGGAUGUGCCCAGAUGGGAUUAGCUAGUUGGUGGGGUAACGGCUCACCUAGGCGACGAUCCCUAGCUGGUCUGAGAGGAUGACCAGCCACACUGGAACUGAGACACGGUCCAGACUCCUACGGGAGGCAGCAGUGGGGAAUAUUGCACAAUGGGCGAAAGCCUGACGCAGCCAUGCCGCGUGUAUGAAGAAGGCCUUCGGGUUGUAAAGCACUUUCAGCGGGGAGGCGUUACCCGCAGAAGAAGCACCGGCUAACUCAGUGCCAGCAGCCGCGGUAAUAC